CAACAUGUACUGGAAAAGUACUCUCAGUAGUGUACGUGCAUAUGUCUGGAUUGGGAUCGUUUUUAUGCGAUGUAUGUAUGUACAUAUGUACAUGAAUUGCAGUUAUUGCCUGAUAAGAAACUUUAAUCUUUAAUUAAAAGUUGCUUGAAAGCAAAAUGCUGCUCGAUAAGCCCGCAAAAUGACCGACUGCUUGUACCUGACAGAAAAAAUUACAGUUCGGAAAAAUGUUACUUCUAGAAUGGUGUAUUUUGUAUAUUUAUAUUUCACCUACAAUAUCUUUCUUUUUGAUAACCUUCUAUCUGGUGCAUCAAAAUCUUGGAAAAUUUGUGAAAAAAAUGUUCAGUUAAGCUUGAAAGUACAAACACCUCGAAAACACACAUAUCGUACAUCCAACGUAUUUUAGAAAAAAACGAAAAUAAUUGGUUCUGUCCAAUAGGUCUUAAAAUUUGAUAAAAUUUGAUCUAAAAUUUUUAUAUUUUGUUCAACCUAGAGCAUUCAAAAAAUAUACAUUUUUAUAUAAAAAUUUCGCCAUUUGCAACAAUAUAUCUUAGGUUGUUAAUGUUGCCUACUAGAUUAUUAGAAGAGAGUUUUUUUAGAUUAUUUUUUUUGUUGUUAAUUUGAUGCUUUGUUUAUUUAAAGGCGUAUUUAUAUAUUGUGGUAUAAAUUGAUGUCUGUUAAGAAUUUGAUUAUUUUUGUUGCAUUAAUAUUGUUAAAUAAACUCAGCAUGGGUUUAUAUUUAUACUUACCAAAGAUUUUAGUUCUGCCUUGUUUUAGUGCUGGGCACAGUUUGAGAGUAUGGGCUCGAUGCUGACACUUGGAUUAAAGUUCCAAAUGUGACAAGACGGUGGUGAAAUAUUUGACCUAUGUACAUAUAUAGGGCUAGUAUGUUUGAUGUUGUUUUAAUAUUAGCGUCCGCUUAUGUAUGUCCUGUGUAUUAGUGUCCGUUCUGGUUGUGUGGUAUUUUUUGCCUCACAUGUUUAUUACAGAUGGUGUUUAAAUAUUCCGGCAUCCACAGAAGUAAUCUUAUUGAUAUGGACGUUGACAUGCAAUGACUGCAUCUUUCAAGAGGCGAUGCAAUUACUGCACCGACAAGUGGCCCGUGUGACACCAGCAGAAGGCUGUUAUGCACGGAUCCCAGGCAAAACGCAGCCUUCUUUUUACCCAACCGACCGAUGGGCGCUGCCGCAUGACGCGCGGUGCGUAGGCAUUCCGAAUACAAAUAUGAGCAAAAUACAUUUACGAAUACCACUACAUAUACUAAUUACUAGAAAGGCAUUGAAGAUUGCAAUGAAAUUAUAUGGUUCCAACAGGAAGGCUACUUACCAAAUUUCUGUAAACACAAUUGAAAUUUUGCCAUGGAGACUAGACGGUACGGAUGUAAAUUAGAGAGCGUGCGAUUUUUCCCGUUAGACUUUUUAUAAAGUCGCAGUUCUGUGCCAUAAGCCCGAAAACCUCAAAGUUAUCGCUCAAAUAAAAACCUGCAAAAACCUUGGAUGCGAGCUACGACAAUGGUACGAUGCUUUGUUUCACACAUAAUCUAAUUUAUAGAUCUUUAAACAAAAUCGUCAAUAUUAAAUUCACAGCUUAUUUUAUUCAUUGUCAAAAUCGAUUGAAACUCAUUGAAUCAUAUAUUCUAUUUAUCUUAUUCCCUUUUGUUCGAGAGAUUGAUUUGCCUCAAAGAGCCUUCCAAGACUCGAAGUCUAGAUAAUUGAACUGAGGGAUCUAGAAUUCUAAGAUACAUGAAUUCAUCUAACGCAGACUCAUAGAUAGUUAGUUAUAUUUUAUAUUACUUUUUUUUAAAUCGUUACAAAGUUUUAAAAAAGAUCAAAGAAUUAGAAUUAUAAGUCCAUAAAUACGCGUAAGUGUAAUUGAUGUUAAUCACAAAGAAUAUUAAUUAGUUUUUAAGAACUGCAUUUGUUAUCGCUGCUUCGCUAUGGUCUCACAUACAACAGCAUACAUCUUUAACGGUAGCCGUUAAGUAAAACCAUUUCUAAUUUUACGUUACCAGCAGACAAAUGACAAAAUAACCUAUAAGCUGCUUAUAAUAUCCCCAAUUUCUAAUAUCAAAUAUAAGUAUUUUGUUAUUAUGGCUUAAGCCCGCAUGAAAACAUUUCGUUCGGUAAUUUAGUUACACAGUGAUCCGAACUUGGUGCUUCCGACAAGUAUACGCGGGCGGAAAAAAUAUCUUUAAACUGCCUUUAGAUUAAACUGAAACACUGAGAGACAAGCUAGUCCAUUCCAUAUAAAACGGCGGACAGACAGACAUAAAAUGACGAGAACAGCUAUCGGAUGUAGCAAAUAAAUAGUCAAAACUUACACUCCUAUUACUAUAUGGGUAUAAACAUAUUAUAAGUGUCUUUAUGAUUUUUUUUUAGAUUCAUGUAUAUAUUUUCUGAGAGCUAAUAGGAAAAUUCUCUAUGCGCAACAUGCGAAAAUAUUUAUUUACAAUAUGUAGACGCUGUCAAGAAAAAAUCGGGGUAUUUGUUUAUGUUAAUUUAAUUGUGUAUGCUUUUUAAUAUUAUCUGUUUUCAAUAUUCUAUUAAGACUCCAAUGUGUUAUAGAUAUCAGGCAAGAGUAAAUUUCUUAGUGCCAAGAGAGCGUUUUCACCAACUUUGAAUAUCAAUUCUUUGAAUAUAAAUUUGCAUGCACUUUUAGGUAUUAUAUUUGUUGCUAAUUUAGGCACUUUUGUAAUUUCGAAUAAGAUAUUAAAUAUAUAUACAUAUAUAAGUAUAUUGUCAUCAUUACUCUAACUUAUAAUAAAAUUCAAUUGAGUCUAAUCUAUUCGAAUAACAAUAAGUUUUUUCUUAUUUAAGAAUAUAAUGUAGGAGCACACAUAGUUUUAUUAUUUGCCAUAAAAUACGGCAGAAAGCUCCUAAAUUCACCGGACGGAAAA